UACGUAGGGGGCAAGCGUUGUCCGGAUUUAUUGGACGUAAAGCGCUCGCAGGUGGUUCGAUGCGUCGUGCGUGAAAGACCCCGGCUCAACUGGGGGGUGUCGUGCGAUACGGUCGGACUGGAGGCCAGUAGGGGGAUGCGGAAUUCCGGGUGUAGUGGUGGAAUGCGUAGAGAUCCGGAGGAACACCAGCGGCGAAGGCGGCAUCCUGGACUGGUCCUGACACUCAUGAGCGAAAGCGUGGGGAGCGAUCCGG
rnacentral:rRNA from 1 species